UACGUAGGGCGCAAGCGUUUGUCCGGAAUUAUUGGGCGUAAAGAGCUCGUAGGCGGUUUGUCGCGUCUGCUGUGAAAACCUAAGGCUCAACCUUGGGCUUGCAGUGGGUACGGGCAGACUAGAGUGCGGUAGGGGUGACUGGAAUUCCUGGUGUAGCGGUGGAAUGCGCAGAUAUCAGGAGGAACACCGAUGGCGAAGGCAGGUCACUGGGCCGCAACUGACGCUGGAGGAGCGGAAA
rnacentral:rRNA from 1 species